rnacentral:rRNA from 1 species
UAUAAAGUGGCGAACGGCUGAGUAACACGUGGGCAACCUGCCCUUUGCACUGGGAUAGCCUCGGGAAACCGAGGUUAAUACCGGAUACUCCAUAUUUGUCGCAUGGCGAAUAUGGGAAAGCUCCGGCGGCAAAGGAUGGGCCCGCGGCCUGUUAGCUAGUUGGUGGGGUAGUGGCCUACCAAGGCAAUGAUGGGUAGCCGGGUUGAGAGACCGACCGGCCAGAUUGGGACUGAGACACGGCCCAGACUCCUACGGGAGGCAGCAGAA